rnacentral:rRNA from 1 species
CUUGCUCCACAUAAGAGGUCCAGCCUGCCCAGUGACAUAGUUCAACGGCCGCGGUAUCCUAACCGUGCGAAGGUAGCGUAAUCACUUGUUCUUUAAAUAAGGACUAGUAUGAAAGGCACCACGAGAGUCAUACUGUCUCCUUUUUCUAAUCAGUGAAACUAAUCCCCCCGUGAAGAAGCGGGAAUAAAAAUAUAAGACGAGAAGACCCUAUGGAGCUUUAAACAAAUAACACUUGCCCCCUCCAACCUCUACUUCAGAGAAAUUUCCUACCCUGGCAUCAUGAUUAUUAGUUUUCGGUUGGGGUGACCGCGGAACAAAAAACAACCUCCGCAAUGAAAGCACACUCGCUUAAUCAAGAGCUACAACCCUACACAUCAACAAAUUGACACAAUUGACCCAACAUGUUGAUCAAUGAAC